AAAAUAUGUAUAGUUCAUGUAAUGUAUUGCUACACUUGAUGUAGGCAAUAAGAAAAAUUAGUGACGACAAAAAGGAUAAAUGUGAAAGAAUAAAAUAAUAAUUUUAUGAAGAUAACGGUUGUUCCUAAUCGUUUACUAACAGAAUUUAACUUUAGAGAUUAUAUUUGAAAUAAAAUAUUAAAAGAAUAGUUUUAAUAUUAGUCUUCUAAUAGAAAUAAAUAAGAAAAUUAAAAAUUUUUCAGAAAUAUAUAAAUAGUUGUCUUAUUUUUUUUGAGAAAAAAAUAGCAAGCUAACUGCUUCAUUCAUUAAACGAGAUGAACUAAACAGACAGGAUGAAAACAGCAAAGUCCUUCAAGGCAUAGCCAAAAUACAUAACAAGAAGAAAGCAGAA
rnacentral:lncRNA from 1 species